GGGCCAAUCAGUUGCAUGUCAUCAAAUUCUCGUUUAACACAUCAUACUCAAUAGAGUGGCGUGAAAGAAGAAGGCUCAAACACUAAGAAAACGGGAGACUCGCAAGAUCGAGGUAAAUCCUCAAUUUAGGCGACUUGGCAAUUUGGAGCGAGCAUAUGCACACUUGAUGGUUAUCAAGCGCUUCCGCUAUUACGUAUUAAUGUUUUGGGUCAAAUGCUCGUUUUU